rnacentral:miRNA from 1 species
UCAAUCACACUCUGUCCACAG